UGGAUCCAGACUUUGAUCAUGGCUCAGGAUGAACGCUAGCUACAGGCUUAACACAUGCAAGUCGAGGGGAAACGAUAUUGGAAGCUUGCUUCCGAUAGGCGUCGACCGGCGCACGGGUGAGUAACGCGUAUCCAACCUGCCCACCACUUGGGGAUAACCUUGCGAAAGUAAGACUAAUACCCAAUGAUAUCUCUAGAAGACAUCUGAAAGAGAUUAAAGAUUUAUCGGUGAUGGAUGGGGAUGCGUCUGAUUAGCUUGUUGGCGGGGUAACGGCCCACCAAGGCGACGAUCAGUAGGGGUUCUGAGAGGAAGGUCCCCCACAUUGGAACUGAGACACGGUCCAAACUCCUACGGGAGGCAGCAGUGAGGAAUAUUGGUCAAUGGGCGAGAGCCUGAACCAGCCAAGUAGCGUGCAGGAUGACGGCCCUAUGGGUUGUAAACUGCUUUUAUAAGGGAAUAAAGUGAGCCUCGUGAGGCUUUUUGCAUGUACCUUAUGAAUAAGGACCGGCUAAUUCCGUGCCAGCAGCCGCGGUAAUACGGAAGGUCCGGGCGUUAUCCGGAUUUAUUGGGUUUAAAGGGAGCGUAGGCCGGAGAUUAAGCGUGUUGUGAAAUGUAGACGCUCAACGUCUGCACUGCAGCGCGAACUGGUUUCCUUGAGUACGCACAAAGUGGGCGGAAUUCGUGGUGUAGCGGUGAAAUGCUUAGAUAUCACGAAGAACUCCGAUUGCGAAGGCAGCUCACUGGAGCGCAACUGACGCUGAAGCUCGAAAGUGCGGGUAUCGAACAGGAUUAGAUACCCUGGUAGUCCGCACGGUAAACGAUGGAUGCCCGCUGUUGGUCUGAAUAGGUCAGCGGCCAAGCGAAAGCAUUAAGCAUCCCACCUGGGGAGUACGCCGGCAACGGUGCAACUCAAAUGAAUUGACGGA
rnacentral:rRNA from 1 species